UACGUAGGUGACAAGCGUUGUCCGGAUUUACUGGGCGUAAAGGGCGCGCAGGCGGUCGAUCAAGUCGAGUGUGAAAGCCCCCGGCUCAACUGGGGAGGGUCAUUCGAUACUGAUCGACUCGAAGGCAGGAGAGGGUAGUGGAAUUCCCGGUGUAGUGGUGAAAUGCGUAGAUAUCGAUAGGAACUCCGGUGGCGAAGGCGGCACACUGGACCACAACUGACGCUGAGGCGACGGAAAGCCAGGGAGCAAACGGG
rnacentral:rRNA from 1 species